rnacentral:rRNA from 1 species
AAUCAACGCUGGCGGCGUGCCUCAGACAUGCAAGUCGAACGCGAAAGAGGGCUUCGGCCCUUGAGUAGAGUGGCGCACGGGUGAGUAACACGUGGGUAAUUUACCUCUGGGUGGGGAAUAACAGUCGGAAACGGCUGCUAAUACCGCAUAAUGCAGCGGCUCCACAUGGAGACAGUUGUUAAAAGCGGGGAGCGAGCAAUCGCCCUCGCGCCUGAAGAGAAGCCCGCGGCAGAUUAGCUAGUUGGUGAGGUAAUGGCUCACCAAGGCUUCGAUCUGUAGCCGGCCUGAGAGGGCGGUCGGCCACACUGACACUGAAUAACGGGUCAGACUCCUACGGGAGGCAGCAGUCGGGAAUUUUGGCAAUGGCGCAAGCCUGACCCAGCAACGCCGCGUGAAGGAUGAAAUCUUUCGGGAUGUAAACUUCACAAGAAC